UACAGAGGUCUCAAGCGUUGUUCGGAUUCAUUGGGCGUAAAGGGUGCGUAGGUGGCGCUGUAAGUCGGGUGUGAAAUUUCGGAGCUUAACUCCGAAACUGCAUUCGAUACUGCGGUGCUUGAGGACUGGAGAGGAGACUGGAAUUUAUGGUGUAGCAGUGAAAUGCGUAGAGAUGUGGAGGAACACCAGUGGCGAAGGCGGUUCUCUGGGCCUGUACUGACGCUGAGGAGCGAAAGCGUGGGGAGCGAACAGG
rnacentral:rRNA from 1 species